UUUUAACGAGAGUUUGAUCCUGGCUCAGGAUGAACGCUGGCGGCGUGCUUAACACAUGCAAGUCGAGCGAAGC
rnacentral:rRNA from 3 species